GUGAUUUGAUACAAAAUAUACGAUACGGAAAUUAUUUGUAGCUGUCAUAUGGUAGGACUGCGGCAUAUGUUUAUGCCAAUAAUAAGCACGUUGAUGAUAUCAAAUAAUAACAUAUUAAUAAUAUCAUAUGCUGAAUAGGAUUAAUUAAAUGCUUUGAUGUUUGAAGGGUAUGUGAUUAUUUUGCUAACCGAUCAUCUAUCAACUUUGAAAAUCAUACUACUGCUUUUUACCAUUAUUGGGUAAACAUCAAGCAACUCAUACCAUAAGGAAAAAGAAGAAGCCCUGCAAACAACAUAUAUAAAAGUAAAACAGUAAAAAAAAGUC
rnacentral:lncRNA from 1 species